GUUUCUUCAGAUCUGCAUGAAUACAGAGGCAGGUGGCAAUUAUCAGUCACCUGCUGAAUAGCUGGAAGCAAAUAUUGAUAUAGCAAAAAUGUGUGGGAGGAGGUGAGAGCUUCAAUGGAAAAUGGGAGAGACUCUACUGGGUUCUUUAAUGCCACUGGAGAGCUGAAUUCACACUUCCCAGGGCUAAAGUUCUCUCAUGAAAAUGCUAAAGAAACAGAAAAUGCCUUUCCAGGAAUUGUCAGGGAUCUAACUACAGAUGCGACUCAUUCAUUUAGAACAACACAAAGAAUUUGUGAAGACAGUUCAGACGUAACAUGCUUCCGGUGUCUAGGUAUUCUGGUUUUCCUUCAAGUCAAGAAUAUGACUAAGGCACCUACAUGAACUAGGUAUUUCACAAAGAAGUACACUCAUAGCACAACAGAUGCUAUCUGUGAGUCUUUCAUGUACCAGUAAAAUGCUGUUUAUGAUAUUUUCUGAUGGACUAUCAGAUACCAAAGUUAAACAUUUCUAAAGUUGGUAUGUUAUUUGUUUAUGUUAAAGAUGCCUCAUUAUAUACCCUGAUCUCUGGCUUAUAAUGUGAUCAAAAUACGAUGUUUAUAAAUCUACUUAUUGAGCUGUAACGUCUAUACCCUCACUAAGAAUAAGUCUUCUCUUCAGCACCUUUACCUGGGUCUCUUGUAGGUAAUUGCAAAGAAAAAUUCAAGAAGCUGUUAAAAUUGUGGCUAUGGAAGUGGCAAGGAGAAAUGUGCACAGAAUUUCUUUUAUGGGUAUUGCUUAGAUGUUAUUUUUUUGCUAAGACUUUACUGGUAUGAUUUUGUAUUCAGAGUUGUUUAUGAUCUUUGGCUGUCUGCUCUAAAGGAAACUUGAAAAACUCCUUUUCUAAGUUUUAUGGAGAUGUAAUAGACACUUAACACCACAUAAGUUUAAGAUGUACGGCUCAAUGACUCGACUUUCAUAUAUGGCGAAUGGUUGAGAAAACUCAGUCUUGACUCGAGCACAAAAGUGUGACAUUGUAAAAUUAAGUAUUUGGGGGGAUGAUUAUAUUUUUAAGGAUCUUUUAAAAGAUGGUUUUAACCAGCAGUUAGUUUUGUUAAGUUGAGGUCAUUGUUAAAUGCAUUCACGCUGUCUUUUCACUGGUAAAGUUUUAGCUAUGAAAAAUAUCUGUUAACAUAUAGUGGUGGAUACAUUUGACAGUUUUGAGACAUCUCUAUGCAGGUUAAUAGAAUAGAACAUCAAACACUACUUUAACUUUCCAAGGAGCAAUGCCAAAAUAUUUGCACUUUUGGGUAUGUCUGAUCUGGUAAUAAUUUGUAUAAAAUAUGUGAAUUGAAAAAUUAAAAGGAUGAAAGCUACAAAAAUUAUAAAAGUCCUGGGCGACUAUUUAUGUGUGUGUAUAUAUAUAUUUAUUUGUAUUACUUCCUUAUUAAUGGUACAACACUUAUUGAAUAGUAAGACACUUAUUUGAAUACAUAUUUAAUCUUAAUAAAGGGGAACAGGUUCUUAUUUUAUUGCCUUUGUUGCUUAUUUUUUCUCCACGUUGAAUUCUUCAAAUUAUUUAAGAUUUCUCAGUCCCUGACAGAGUCCAGUCAUCUAGGGCAAGGACAGAACCUUCUUUCCUUCCAGCAAGCUAAGCAUAGAAGAGACACCAAAAUGUGGCUGGAGUUAUUCGAGCAAGUGAACCAGGGUUUGGGGUAGAGGACCCCACGGUGUGGAGAGUACCUUAUAUGCAGCAUGCAGUCAUCUAUGUGGAGCCUUCACAACCCUGGAGGGCUGGCUGGCGGUCUCCUUUCUAGGGGCUCUUGGGAUCCAUGUCUCAAGAUAAAAUGAAGGUACCUCAGGACCUAAGAGGUAAGAGCCUUUGCCUUUUUUUUUUUUUAACAGGUCUAUAUAGUUAUGGUUAACAUACAGUAUAACAUACAAUGUUAUAUUGGUUUCAGAUGAACAAUAUAAUGAUUCCACAAUUUCAUACAUCGCCCAGUACUUGUCACAACAAAUACCCUCCUUGACCCC
rnacentral:lncRNA from 1 species